CAUAGUCCCAGAGCUGAAGCUGCUGUCCGCUCCUCUUUGGCUGGACUGAGACCUUGAUUCUACCAGAGGACAUGACUUCACUUUCUUCCAGACCUCACACUAAACAAGUUAGCUGGGAUCUUUGAGUUGGAUGUGUUAUCCUUUACAUGGAGUUCUUCGGUAUUUACCUAAAUAAGCCUCAUGUCAUCAAAGCUUUUCUUGCCUCAUUUGCACUUGGCCUUUGGAAAUGUGGAGAAUAUUGGUUCAGUUUCUUAUGCCAUUUAAAGAGCCGUAUUCAACCAGACACGGAUGCACUUCUCACACCAUGAGCAGCUGAACUGGGCGGCUUCUUAGAUGAGUUGGAUGUGCUCCUGUCCAGUUUCUGACUGGCAGCUUGCUUGUAUUCUUUGAGACUGAUGUAGCCAUGUUCUCCAGCAAAGCUGUUGUGGAUUGUGU